GGCUUUGUGGCCAAGUGGUAAGGCGUCCGCCUCCUAUUUAGUUUUGGAACCAGCGGAAGAUCGAGGGUUCGAUCCCCUCCAGAGUCG
rnacentral:tRNA from 1 species